GGACAGCACAUCAACUGAUGCCUUUAAUACAGGAUGGAAUGACAGACACGUGGUCUUACAGUGCGUAUAGCGAGGUGAAUGCUUCACAGCACCCACAGCGACUGGAUUCAAAUGUCUGGCAGCGGCCUGAUUCCAAAUGGCGGGAGCUACCAUCUAUCAAUGCAGCUGGUCAGGUGGCCACUUCUGGCCCAAUCGGUCAUGGUCAAGAGGCCAGGGACAUGUGCAAAAAGCAUGACUGCCUGAGGCCCAGAGCCCUGGCCUCUGGAGGAGGCUUCCAGGUGCUGGGUAAAUAGCCAAGGAGUCCACCACAUCCUGCUGAGCUGAACUGUCGUGAGAGCCCUGGAACUUUUACAGCCAGCA
rnacentral:lncRNA from 1 species